UACGUAGGGUGCGAGCGUUGUCCGGAAUUACUGGGCGUAAAGAGCUCGUAGGUGGUUUGUCGCGUUGUCCGUGAAAACUCACAACUCAAUUGUGGGCGUGCGGGCGAUACGGGCAGACUGGAGUACUGCAGGGGAGACUGGAAUUCCUGGUGUAGCGGUGGAAUGCGCAGAUAUCAGGAGGAACACCGGUGGCGAAGGCGGUUCUCUGGGCCUGACCUGACGCUGAGGAGCGAAAGCGUGGGGAGCGAACAGG
rnacentral:rRNA from 1 species